rnacentral:hammerhead_ribozyme from 1 species
AUCCUGAUGACGAGUCCUAGAUAGGACGAAAUGAGUAUUCUGGAU